UACAGAGGUCUCAAGCGUUGUUCGGAUUCAUUGGGCGUAAAGGGCGCGUAGGCGGCGGGGUAAGUCGGGUGUGAAAUCUCAGAGCUCAACUCUGAAACUGCACUCGAUACUGCUCUGCUUGAGGACUGGAGAGGAGACUGGAAUUCACGGUGUAGCAGUGAAAUGCGUAGAUAUCGUGAGGAAGACCAGUGGCGAAGGCGGGUCUCUGGACAGCUCCUGACGCUGAGGCGCGAAGGCCAGGGGAGCAAACGGG
rnacentral:rRNA from 1 species